GGGCAUCCAAGUGAAGGAUCCUGCUGAGUACUCAGGGGCUGGUGUUGCUGUCAGGGAUGUUAGCCAAGAGCCUCAGCUUCCUGUAAAAUGAGGAUGAUGAUGUCCAACAGCUUAUGGGACCUAGAAGUCCCAGCAUUUUUCAUCUUUCAAUCUCACCUCCUUUUCCUGAUAAUAGAGAGGCAACAAGAACUCAGGGCAUGCAAUGGGGCUCAACUUCUACUCUCUGCCACAAUUUCAUCAUGAUUCCCCCAAAGAGCAGAGCCCCAGGAGCCAGCAGGGGGCAGGGUGGGCAUUUCUGGACUGGAUUCAUUCAUAAUAAGAUCAAAAUUUCCAAUCCGUAUGUCUCGGGUGCCAUCUGCUGAUAGAUCCGACCAGAUGGUAUAA
ensembl:lncRNA novel transcript